UGGUACUGCCAUGGGAUCCUGGCAAUGGAAUAUGUUGUUGGCUUGAUGGUGCUAAACUUUGUUGGAGUAUUUCUUGGGACCCGGGUGACCAAGCAGUUCUUAUCGAUGCUCUACGAAUACUGCAAACAAUUCCUCAUUCUAAAACCACCAAGAGCUUUUGGUUGUACCUCGUGGUUCAGCAAGCAGUGCUGAUAUCAUGGGAUCCAGGUGAUAUGGUUCUUCUGUUGGUUCAGUUUGUUGGACAUAGCUGGUGCUUCAUCAACUUACUUCUAUCAGAUUCGUUGAGGUUCCCAUGCUGCAUGUCUGAGGUGUUCAACAAUGGAGUACAAAGCAUUGAACAACCUGCAGUAAAAUUCGUUUUGUCGGCAUCUUCUUAUGAGCAAUGGGAUCCAGGAGGAGUGCACUUUACAAAAUGUUCAAGGCUUGCAACGGAGAACUAGCACCGGCUUGGGGGCAAGCCGGCUGUUAAGGGGGAGGGGAUGUCAGCACCCCUGCUACCCUGGGCCGGCUAUGGGCUAGGCCCAGCUGACUUGCUGCCACAAGUGCUACAGCCACAACCACUAUACAUAGCAGGACCAAGGCACUGGACGAGCCAUCCAGUGGAUCACGGACGGCUCGGCGGCGGCUACCUUCCUCUCUUCCCCCUACCUCCAGUUCUUCCCCAAUUCGCUUGUAACCUCUGCUUGUAAUUGCUACUCUGUAUCAAACCUUCCUGAGAGAGAGAGAUAUUACUAGCAAGACUACAGCUAGUCCCUUACAUCUGGUAUACAGAGCUAGGCCACCACCCUUCUCCCUCAAAUUUCCCCCAAUUUUUCUACCACUCCCAAUCUCUCCGAUUCCACCGGUGAGGACGCCAUGCCCACAGUCAAACCACCAGAGUGGGAUGCCAUGUCUGCCAAGGAGCAGUUAUUGUGGUAUCUCAAGAGAUUAUGCGCUCAGGCGGAGGAGGUGAGCUCACUGUUGGGGAUUGCACGGGUGUGCGACCCUCCCAUGGUCACUCCGCUUGUCGAUCCGGCGGCCUCAACCAUGACGCAUGCCUCGUCAGCGCCCAUCCCCGACGUCCCCAGCUCCACCAUCAAGGCCCAGGAGAUCCCCAUGGUCGCCCAUGAUGCUGCCCCGGUCUGCGUCGCGAUGGUGCCCGUCACCUGUUCGACGGAGUGCUCGACCCAGGCCGACAACGUCGACGAGGUCCAUGAUGCCGCCACCGCUAUCCGCCUCGAGCCCACGGUCAACCCCAUCCACCAAGCAGUCGAGCAGCUCACUCCGGGGCAGGCUACAACUUCUAGUGUUGAGGCCGUUUCUCCCGUGACGGCCACCACCGACAUCGACCCCAAGGCCGUCGUGCAGGAGCUCGAUGCCCUGUCUGUUAACACCUCCACGCAAGUGAUGAGCAAGGCGAACCAUGGCGUCGUCCUCAUCAUCCCCAGCGACUUCUCUGCACCAACGCUGACCAUGUGUUUGACAUGUUACAUUGUCCAUGGCGACGACCCGGUGCACCCAACUGCACGCAAAGAGCAUUGCCCACAUGGCGUUCAUCUCGUGGGUGAGUGCACAGGCUUGCUGCUGCCACCAUUGCGGAAAGGAACUGAGCCGCAACAGUGGCCUCCCCCUGUUCAAGUGCAGUGUGCAAAGGAUGACAUUGUUCUAUUCCGUGGCAUUGUUUGCGGAUUUUUCACUAGUGACGCUGGCUGUGUAUGGUGGCCACCUGAUCACCAACCAAGGAGGAUUCAUACUGAGUUGCAAACUCCAAUUGUUACCUCAAUGCAGUUGCAACCAUGGCCUUCUGGGAAUUUUCAACUCACUCAUCCAUUGAGCGACGACCAGAUCAUUUUGGGCAGCUUAGUUUCUGGGUUUCCACUGAGCAGCGACGGAAGAGAAGGGAAUUCAUCACUCCGUCUGUUUCCCGUAAGUGCUCAAACAAAUUCCUAUGGGGAGUUGCAUGGCCACUCCGUUCUGAGAACACAGCUGCUAAUUAUGGGCAUGUCAGUGCAUUGCCAGUUUUGGUUUCAAGAGGAUUUUACAGGGAGCGGCCGCGUGGAGUUACAGAUUAACUCGGUGGUGUUUGCAACUACAGGUUCAACUGCAGGAGAUUUUGUGUACAAACCAUGGCUGCGGCAGUACAAUUUCAGUGGACGCUUCGGAGGGAUACUCACCAACCAGUUCUUGCAUUUGUGGUCCUUGAAGCAUGACAGUGAUGAUUCAGAUUUUAUUAAGCAUGUCAAUCUUACCAUCACUUCCAAACAACAUCACUCUUGUUUUUCUAUGGGGUGCGUUCUUGUUUUGCAAGAUCUCAAUGAUGCUCAAUCCACCCUUAAGACUGCGCAGAUGCUGAAAAUAGAGGUGACAACAGUGGGACUGCAGCCAGCGACUUUCCGCGUGAGGCAGUCAUUGCUUGUUACUUACAUGAGCAACAUUUCAAGCCAUUUUGGUACUGUUCUUGCCACUCACUUUGGCACUGCUAGCAUGUUCCGGAAACAACCUACCUUGAUUGCUGGGAUGAGAAGGAACUUCCCUGAUGGCUGUGAGCGGGUUUCCAUGCAAGAACACUUCAGUUAUUUGCAAUAUGUACAGCUGCAACUAUGGAGACUGCCUGCACAUACACAUGGGUCUACACUAGGUGAACAACAAUCAGGUUUCGAUCUUUGGUCAGUGAAGCUACUAUUCAGAGAUAAUUAUGCAUGUGAAGCUUGGUACUGCUACAUUUUUGACACUUGGAUCAGGAGAAAAUUGACGGGAAUCACUUCGCAAGAUGAUACAAUGUAUGGUGUUAAUUUCAUUUUCAGCUUCCUUCAUGCGCACAGUGGUGGCCUACUUAUUAUGGCAAGCAACGCAACAUGUAUUUAUAUGGCGAGCACUUGUUCCGUAGCCCAGUUUCAAUAUUGCUCUAACUCGGUACUGCUGAUUUUUGAGCAAUUUGACUUGCAAAUCGCCUGGCUGCCAUUCUCUCGAGCUUGGUUUCUCAAGUCUGGGCACUCUAGCAGAGCUUUCACAUGGGAGCGACCAUUCUUACCAUCACGAACAAUCUGGAAUAUUAUUCUUGGUAGUUCGUGGGAGGCAUGUAUAGUUACUCAUCACCGGGUCUUGAUUCUUCCUUGGGAUCCAGGUAACAAUCUAUAUCCCGUUGGUAUGAAUCACCUUGCGACAAGAAGAGUCACCUUUUGUAUGCUACUGGUACUGCCAUGGGAUCCUGGCAAUGGAAUAUGUUGUUGGCUUGAUGGUGCUAAACUUUGUUGGAGUAUUUCUUGGGACCCGGGUGACCAAGCAGUUCUUAUCGAUGCUCUACGAAUACUGCAAACAAUUCCUCAUUCUAAAACCACCAAGAGCUUUUGGUUGUACCUCGUGGUUCAGCAAGCAGUGCCGAUAUCAUGGGAUCCAGGUGAUAUGGUUCUUCUGUUGGUUCAGUUUGUUGAACAUAGCUGGUGCUUCAUCAACUUACUUCUAUCAGAUUCGUUGAGGUUCCCAUGCUGCAUGUCUGAGGUGUUCAACAAUGGAGUACAAAGCAUUGAACAACCUGCAGUAAAAUUCGUUUUGUCGGCAUCUUCUUAUGAGCAAUGGGAUCCAGGAGGAGUGCACUUUACAAAAUGUUCAAGGCUUGCAACGGAGAACUGGCACCGGCUUGGGGGCAAGCCGGCUGUUAAGGGGGAGGGGAUGUCAGCACCCCUGCUACCCUGGGCCGGCUAUGGGCUAGGCCCAGCUGACUUGCUGCCACAAGUGCUACAGCCACAACCACUAUACAUAGCAGGACCAAGGCAUUGGACGAGCCAUCCAGUGGAUCACGGACGGCUCGGCGGCGGCUACCUUCCUCUCUUCCCCCUACCUCCAGUUCUUCCCCAAUUUGCUUGUAACCUCUGCUUGUAAUUGCUACUCUGUAUCAAACCUUCCUGAGAGAGAGAGAGAUUACUAGCAAGACUACAGCUAGUCCCUUACAUCUGGUAUACAGAGCCAGGCCACCACCCUUCUCCCUCAAAUUUCCCCCAAUUUUUCUACCACUCCCAAUCUCUCCGAUUCCACCCGUGAGGAUGCCAUGCCCACAGUCAAACCACCAGAGUGGGAUGCCAUGUCUGCCAAGGAGCAGUUAUUGUGGUAUCUCAAGAGAUUAUGUGCUCAGGCGGAGGAGGUGAGCUCACUGUUGGGGAUUGCACGGGUGUGUGACCCUCCCAUGGUCACUCCGCUUGUCGAUCCGGCGGCCUCAACCAUGACGCAUGCCUCGUCGGCGCCCAUCCCCGACGUCCCCAGCUCCACCAUCAAGGCCCAGGAGAUCCCCAUGGUCGCCCAUGAUGCUGCCCCGGUCUGCGUCGCGAUGGUGCCCGUCACCUGUUCGACGGAGUGCUCGACCCAGGCCGACAACGUCGACGAGGUCCAUGAUGCCGCCACCGCUAUCCAUCUCGAGCCCACGGUCAACCCCAUCCACCAAGCAGUUGAGCAGCUCACUCCGGGGCAGGCAACAACUUCUAGUGUUGAGGCCGUUUCUCCCGUGACGACCACUAACGACAUCGACCCCAAGGCCGGCGUGCAGGAGCUCGAUGCCCUGUCUGUUAACACCUCCACGCAAGUGAUGAGCAAGGCGAACCAUGGCGUCGUCCUCAUCAUCCCCAGCGACUUCUUUGCACCAACGCUGACCAUGUGUUUGACAUGUUACAUUGUCCAUGGCGACGACCCGGUGCACCCAACUGCACGCAAAGAGCAUUGCCCACAUGGCGUUCAUCUCGUGGGUGAGUGCACAGGCUUGCUGCUGCCACCAUUGCGGAAAGGAACUGAGCCGCAACAGUGGCCGCCCCCUGUUCAAGUGCAGUGUGCAAAGGAUGACAUUGUUCUAUUCCAUGGCAUUGUUUGCGGAUUUUUCACUAGUGACGCUGGCUGUGUAUGGUGGCCACCUGAUCACCAACCAAGGAGGAUUCAUACUGAGUUGCAAACUCCAAUUGUUACCUCAAUGCAGUUGCAACCAUGGCCUUCUGGGAAUUUUCAACUCACUCAUCCAUUGAGCGACGACCAGAUCAUUUUGGGCAGCUUAGUUUCUGGGUUUCCACUGAGCAGCGACGGAAGAGAAGGGAAUUCAUCACUCCGUCUGUUUCCCGUAAGUGCUCAAACAAAUUCCUAUGGGGAGUUGCAUGGCCACUCCGUUCUGAGAACACAGCUGCUAAUUGUGGGCAUGUCAGUGCAUUGCCAGUUUUGGUUUCAAGAGGAUUUUACAGGGAGCGGCCGCGUGGAGUUACAGAUUAACUCGGUGGUGUUUGCAACUACAGGUUCAACUGCAGGAGAUUUUGUGUACAAACCAUGGCUGCGGCAGUACAAUUUCAGUGGACGCUUCGGAGGGAUACUCACCAACCAGUUCUUGCAUUUGUGGUCCUUGAAGCAUGACAAUGAUGAUUCAGAUUUUAUUAAGCAUGUCAAUCUUACCAUCUCUUCCAAACAACAUCACUCUUGUUUUUCUAUGGGGUGCGUUCUUGUUUUGCAAGAUCUCAAUGAUGCUCAAUCCACCCUUAAGACUGCGCAGAUGCUGAAAAUAGAGGUGACAACAGUGGGACUGCAGCCAGCGACUUUCCGCGUGAGGCAGUCAUUGCUUGGUACUUACAUGAGCAACAUUUCAAGCCAUUUUGGUACUGUUCUUGCCACUCACUUUGGCACUGCUAGCAUGUUCCGGAAACAACCUACCUUGAUUGCUGGGAUGAGAAGGAACUUCCCUGAUGGCUGUGAGCGGGUUUCCAUGCAAGAACACUUCAGUUAUUUGCAAUAUGUACAGCUGCAACUAUGGAGACUGCCUGCACAUACACAUGGGUCUACACUAGGUGAACAACAAUCAGGUUUCGAUCUUUGGUCAGUGAAGCUACUAUUCAGAGAUAAUUAUGCAUGUGAAGCUUGGUACUGCUACAUUUUUGACACUUGGAUCAGGAGAAAAUUGACGGGAAUCACUUCGCAAGAUGAUACAAUGUAUGGUGUUAAUUUCAUUUUCAGCUUCCUUCAUGCACACAGUGGUGGCCUACUUAUUAUGGGAAGCAACGCAACAUGUAUUUAUAUGGCGAGCACUUGUUCCGUAGCCCAGUUUCAAUAUUGCUCUAACUCGGUACUGCUGAUUUUUGAGCAAUUUGACUUGCAAAUCGCCUGGCUGCCAUUCUCUCGAGCUUGGUUUCUCAAGUCUGGGCACUCUAGCAGAGCUUGCACAUGGGAGCGACCAUUCUUACCAUCACGAACAAUCUGGAAUAUUAUUCUUGGUAGUUCGUGGGAGGCAUGUAUAGUUACUCAUCACCGGGUCUUGAUUCUUCCUUGGGAUCCAGGUAACAAUCUAUAUCCCGUUGGUAUGAAUCACCUUGCGACAAGCAGAGUCACCUUUUGUGUGCUACUGGUACUGCCAUGGGAUCCUGGCAAUGGAAUAUGUUGUUGGCUUGAUGGUGCUAAACUUUGUUGGAGUAUUUCUUGGGACCCGGGUGACCAAGCAGUUCUUAUCGAUGCUCUACGAAUACUGCAAACAAUUCCUCAUUCUAAAACCACCAAGAGCUUUUGGUUGUACCUCAUGGUUCAGAAAGCAGUGCUGAUAUCAUGGGAUCCAGGUGAUAUGGUUCUUCUGUUGGUUCAUUUUUUUGAACAUAGCUGGUGCUUCAUCAACUUACUUCUAUCAGAUUCGUUGAGGUUCCCAUGCUGCAUGUCUGAGGUGUUCAACAAUGGAGUACAAAGCAUUGAACAACCUGCAGUAAAAUUCGUUUUGUCGGCAUCUUCUUAUGAGCAAUGGGAUCCAGGAGGAGUGCACUUUACAAAAUGUUCAAGGCUUGCAACGGAGAACUGGCACCGGCUUGGGGGCAAGCCGGCUGUUAAGGGGGAGGGGAUGACAGCACCCCUGCUACCCUGGGCCGGCUAUGGGCUAGGCCCAGCUGACUUGCUGCCACAAGUGCUACAGCCACAACCACUAUACAUAGCAGGACCAAGGCACUGGACGAGCCAUCCAGUGGAUCACGGACGGCUCGGCGGCGGCUACCUUCCUCUCUU
rnacentral:lncRNA from 1 species